GGUGGCCUAGUGGUUAGAGUGACCGCCUCGGCUGCGGGAGGUUGCGGGUUCGAACCCCUGAUCAGAUAUA